UGAACAACAUUUGGAUCGUCGGUCUACCGAGCAAUAUCACCCGCUCGGUGGAAGAUCUUCCUUUUGUCGUUAAAC
rnacentral:pre_miRNA from 1 species